GACGAACGCUGGCGGCGUGAUUAACACAUGCAAGUCGAACGAAGUGGCGAACGGGUGAGUCACGCGUAGUCACCCUGCCCUUCAGAGGGGGAAAACAGUUGGAACCGACUGCUAAUACCGCAUACGGAAGGAGGGGCUUGCGUCUGAUUCGCUAGUUGGAGGGGUAACGGCCCACUAAGGCGAUGAUCAGUAGCCGGUCUGAGAGGAUUAACGGCCACAUUGGGACUGAGACACGGCCCAGACUCCUACGGGAGGCAGCAGUGGGGAAUCUUCCGCAAUGGACGAAAGUCUGACGGAGCAACGCCGCGUGAGUGAUGACGGCCUUCGGGUUGUAAAGCUCUGUUAAUCGGGACGCGGUACCGGAAUAGAAAGCCACGGCUAACUACGUGCCAGCAGCCGCGGUAAUUC
rnacentral:rRNA from 1 species